rnacentral:lncRNA from 1 species
GCAAACUCUGGCUUUCAGUGAGUUGCGAUAGCAAAGUAUAACAACAGAAUGAUGGGGUCUCUUGUUCCCUGAACACUUUAGAAUGGGUUCUUCCACCCUGACAUAUGGGCUUGAGCCGGGGCUGCAGCAGGAGUUUCCUUGUCUUGAUUUGUGCUCUUCCACUACGCUUAGAAAGAAAUACUGUAAAUAGAUAUUUUUCUUUUCAACAGAAGACAAACACCAUGGUGCAACUCAGUGGUCAUAUAAAUACCUGUCAAAAUAACAGAUCAGUUUUUAAAAUAGCAUAUGUACAGAAACAUGUAUCAAAACUAAUUGAUCUGCUGUAAGAAUUGACAUGUUUAAAGAAUGCCUUUGGUGCAGUGGACAAGAAUUUAAAUACAAAAUAAAUGGAAAGUAACAGAAGAAAGUCA